UACGAAGGGGGCUAGCGUUGCUCGGAAUCACUGGGCGUAAAGGGUGCGUAGGCGGGUCUUUAAGUCAGGGGUGAAAUCCUGGAGCUCAACUCCAGAACUGCCUUUGAUACUGAGGAUCUUGAGUUCGGGAGAGGUGAGUGGAACUGCGAGUGUAGAGGUGAAAUUCGUAGAUAUUCGCGAAGAACACCAGUGGCGAAGGCGGCUCACUAGCCCGAUACUGACGCUGAGGCACGAAAGCGUGGGGAGCAAACAGG
rnacentral:rRNA from 1 species